AUAUCAGUCAUGCAUAUGCAUAUCAAUAAGCGGAGGAAAAGAAACUAACAAGGAUUCCCUUAGUAACGGCGAGUGAAGCGGGAAGAGCUCAAAUUUGAAAUCUUCAAGGUUUUACCUUGACGAAUUGUAGUUUAAAGAAGUGUUUUCUGUUGAAGUUUUGGUAAAAGUUCUUUGGAAUAGGACAUCAUAGAGGGUGAGAAUCCCGUAUUUGACCAUUACUUUCAGCUUUGUGAUACACUUUCAAAGAGUCGGAUUGUUUGGGAAUGCAGUCCAGAAUGGGUGGUAAAUUUCAUCUAAAGCUAAAUAUUGGCGAGAGACCGAUAGCGAACAAGUACCGUGAGGGAAAGAUGAAAAGAACUUUGAAAAGAGAGUUAAACAGUACGUGAAAUUGUCAAAAGGGAAGCGUUUGACACCAGUGUUGUUUUCUCGAAAAUCAAUUAAAAAGAGUUGGAUUUUGUGUUGUAUUGACUUUAUCGGCUUUCUUCACUCUUUUCCAGCUUUUUUUAAUGCACUUUUCGUUUAACAAGUCAACAUCAGUUUCUUUUGUUGUAAAAAGGUCAUUGGAAGGUGGCUUUCUCUUCGGAGAAAGUGUUUAUAGCCUUUGACUCAUGCAAUCGAAGAGACUGAGGUCUGCAGCGUAGAUCCUUCGGGGUUAGAUACAUUUGUGCUAAGUUAUAGCUUUUCAUAGACAACUUGUUGACUAUGUUUAGUCUUGUAGCUUACUCGCUUAUGCUAUUUUACCUACGCUUAGGAUGUUGAACUCUAUCACACACAG
rnacentral:rRNA from 1 species